rnacentral:rRNA from 1 species
UACGAAGGGGGCUAGCGUUGCUCGGAAUCACUGGGCGUAAAGGGUGCGUAGGCGGGUCUUUAAGUCAGGGGUGAAAUCCUGGAGCUCAACUCCAGAACUGCCUUUGAUACUGGCGAUCUCGAGUCCGGGAGAGGUGAGUGGAACUGCGAGUGUAGAGGUGAAAUUCGUAGAUAUUCGCAAGAACACCAGUGGCGAAGGCGGCUCACUGGACCACAACUGACGCUGAGGCGCGAAAGCUAGGGGAGCAAACAGG